UCGGCUUGACUCGCGGACGACGCCGGCACCGUUCUCGCUACUUCGUCCACCAGAGUUCCCGACGCAUCUCGGACAACAACAGCUACUGCGCCCGAGUUCGAUCCUUCUAUAUAAGAGCCGUCGAAAUUCGCCUUUAAAGUUCGUUCCUUUGGAGGAUACCAACAUCGAGGUAGGGCUUCUCCUUCUGAAUUAGUUUCCUUUUCUUUGUGAUUCCACUUGCGCCAAUUACUGAGCAUAUUGUGCGCUGAUUCAACAAGGAUUUCUGGAUUGGGGCGUUUUGUUCCGGAAAAUGAAAUCGUUUCUCGCCCACCAAAUAAACCACAGAACAGCCGCAACAACCUCGAACGACGAAUUCGCCCAAAUCAGCGAGGUCCGAGGGCAAAGCAAGAACAAGUGUUCUAUUGUCUCGGGUUUUGAGCUGCAAAAGGGGCACAAGGCUUCAGGGAGCUCUACUGGCCAAGUAAGGGCCAUUGCAUUAGAAUGAAAACCUUCCGUUAUUGGUUCAGCUUCAUUAAUAGCCAUGCCAACUUCAGUAACCCAUAAAUUUGCAUCCAAAAGGCACAAGAAUCAAAUGCGAUACGAUGGGGAGGUGUGCUUAGCUCCCAAGGUUUUAAGACAAGAAGAUGUCUCGAAAAAGACCAAGGGCCAGAAUUUAAUAUUCUGUCUUUCUCCUCUAUUGAAGGGAACUCAAAGGAGAAUAAGCCUAGUUGAAGAUGCUUGCACGCAAUACUUGUUGAUUUCCAUGCUUUUAACAUCGUAGAUUGGAAAGCUUGGAAGUUGACAUUAGGGUUUCCGUACAGACUACCAA